rnacentral:rRNA from 1 species
UACGUAGGCAGCAAGCGUUGUUCGGAAUUACUGGGCGUAAAGAGUGUGUAGGCGGUGCUCUAAGUCUGUUGUGAAAUCUCCCGGCUUAACCGGGAGGGUGCGGCGGAAACUGGAGUGCUCGAGGGUGGGAGAGGUAAGCGGAAUUCCUGGUGUAGCGGUGAAAUGCGUAGAUAUCGGGAGGAACACCUGUGGCGAAAGCGGCUCACUGGACCACAACUGACGCUGAGGCGCGAAAGCUAGGGGAGCAAACAGG